AUCCUUACCUGUCAGGGGCAAUACAAUCAUCAUGAAGGCAGUUUUCCCAGGGCGAGGCUUAUCCAUUGCACUCCUGAUGGACUGACUUCAGCGAUUUCCCCAAAUGUAGGAAACUCAACUGCAUAAUUUGUGGUAGUGGGGGACUUGUGUUCAUGAUCUCUCC